UUGAAAGUUAUUACCAAGUAUUUAGGAUAUUAAAGAAAUACAGGUUAUUAGUUAGUCAUCUAUAACAAUCAAACUUAUAGUCAUUUUAGAUAUGUUUUCAGGUCAAACAGAUAUAGUUUAAGUAGACAGGUGGUCUUCAAAAACUUAAUCUACAGAGUAUGGCAUUUAAACUAUUUUUAUAACAUAAGGCUUUUCAUGACAAUGAGACACGUCUGCUUCUG